rnacentral:tRNA from 1 species
GCCUUCGUGGUGUAGCGGUUCUGCACACUGGGCUAGUACUCCAGAGGUCCGUGGUUCGAUUCCCGGCGAAGGCG